rnacentral:rRNA from 1 species
UACGUGGAUAACUGUGGUAAUUCUAGAGCUAAUACAUGCAGAAGGAGUGCAUUGAUUAGACCAAGACCAAUUCUGGUGACUCUGAAUAACUCAUGGUCAUAGCACUGGUGACAUAUCUUUCAAGUGUCUGCCCUAUCAACUUUCGAUGGUAGUUUAUGUGCCUACCAUGGUUGUAACGGGUAACGGAGAAUAAGGGUUUGACUCCGGAGAGGGAGCCUGAGAAAUGGCUACCACAUCCAAGGAAGGCAGCAGGCGCGCAAAUUACCCACUCUCAGCGAGGAGGUAGUGACGAAAAAUAACGAGAUGGUUCUCUAUAUCAUCGGAAUGGGUACAAUUUAAACCCUUUAACGAGGAUCUAUUGGAGGGCAAGUCUGGUGCCAGCAGCCGCGGUAAUUCCAGCUCCAAUAGCAUAUACCAAUUCUGCUGCUGUUAAAAAGCUCGUAGUUGGAUCUUGAGGAUGGAGUCUGCCUGAUGGGCAUGCCGCUGGUCUUCCUGUGGUGCUCUUAAACGGGUGUCUCAGGUGGCUAGCACAUUUACUUUGAAAAAAUUAGAGUGCUCAAAACAAGCGUCAAGCCUGUAUAGUGGUGCAUGGAAUAAUGGAAUAGGA